rfam:Ciona savignyi cont_20865, whole genome shotgun sequence.
CCUUCGAUAGCGCAGUUGGUAGAGCGGUGGACUGUAGAAUUUGUGAUGGUUAUCUAUAGGUCGCUGGUUCGAAUCCGGCUCGAAGGA